UCCAGACUCACAUAUGAAACUUCAGGAUCAACAUUUCCAUUUGAGUGUCUAGAGGGCAUCUCAAACAUAAUCUCCUGUCUUCUCAACUACAGAUUGGGUUGAGCAGAACACAGAUAAUACAGAAGUACAUUUUUUUUCCAGAUUAAACUAGGGGUAGAAGCUAAACUGACAAAACUGGAGACAACCCAAAAAUCCACUAGUAGGCACUGGCUGAAUAAAGUGUGGCUCAUUUACAUAAUGGAAGAAUACACAGCUCUACCAUGAAAUAAGGAAAAACUACGUAAACUACUAUCAAAUCUUCAGGAUACAAAAUAAUCUGAAAAAACAAGCAAAGAAAAUGUAUACUGUUUGGUGUUAUUUAUCUACAUAAAUGGUUGGGUUCUGAUCUCCUAAGACUGGCGUCACUACAAGAAGAGACACCGGAGAGCUCUCUUUCUCUCCAUCUCUUUUCCUCUCUCUUGCAAGCACUCCCGCCAGCUGCCCACAAUAUGAGGACAGUGAGAAGACUGUCACCUGCAAGCCAUGAAGCGAGUCCUCACCAGAAAUGGAGCCUGUCAGACCUUGGUCUGAGACUUCUAGCCUCUGGAACUUUCUGAAAAUAAACUUCUGUUGUUUAAACCAUCCACUGUAUGGUAUUUUCCCACGGCAGGUUGAGGUAAUACAGAGCUUUACUGUCAUCCUCAGAAGCAUCAACUGGAUUUGUAUACAUUAUGAUGAAAAAGACCUGAAAAUUUCACACAGAUUAAAUGCUUUCACUUAUUUCUCAGUUUUAUACUAGUGCUUUCUUUAGACUCUUCAAAUUGCAUGUCCUUCCUUAUGUUCCCUGGGCAUUGACUUAUUAGUUCCUGGGUAAAAUUUAACAAAGGCUAUGCCACAGGUCUAGGAUUAGUCAUUUUCACAAUCUUGGAUUUCUCAAUAACUAUGACUACAUUCCCCUUAAAUAUGAGUUCCUUAGAAAAUCUGUUUUUAUUAUUUGGACAUAGUGCCUGGUGAUAAUAGACAGCCUAUGCUUUUUUGUCUUUCCCCUGAACUAGAAUUCAAAUGAAGGAUAUGCUAAACACAGCUGUUGCUGUGUAUAAUGACAUUCAGUAUGUGGAUGCUGCAUCCAGAUUCCAUUUUAAGGCAGCCAUCUGUCCUUUAGCAAGCAAAAUAACAGAAGAUUUAUACCUUAAUAAAAUCACACACAUAAGUGCACCCCACACUCCUUCAUGUGCCCUCCAUGUAAUUUCACAUUUGUUAGUGAAUUUUCUGUAGUAUUUUUCUAGCUUUAAGACUAUUUGAGGUGAAGUUCUGGACCUGCUAAGCCUGAGCACAAGGGUUUUAGCAUAAUAUAUUUGGACUCAUGAUUUUCAGUAAAUCUUCAUAGAUUGACAUGAAUGUCAUGAAAUUUAAAAGAUUAAGAAACAUUCCUUCUCUAUUUUUCCAGGCCUGUACAGACUAAUAUUUGUUUAGCACUGCAGAGCUUAUAAAACCUUCUCCCUUCUUAUUUAAUUUAUAUAUCCAGACCUACCUGCGGAGUUGCUUAAGGUCAGAAAAUCCACUAGCAAAGAAGCCAGGGCUCAAAAUAAUAGGUUAUUUCUCCAAAUUCCUUGGUUUUCUCAUCAUCCUGCACAGUCACCUAUUAAGCUAUGUACUGAAUUAUUCUAUAUUAUUUUACUUAAUUAUUGAUAAUAAUACUUUAUUGAACCUUUAUUUUGUGCCAUGCAUUUUUACUUUAUAUUUUGAAUAAGUAAUUCUGCUUAAUCCUUACAAUAACCUGAUGAUGUAGACACCGUUUUUAAAAAUAUACUCUCUAAUAUAAGAAGUUAUAGAAACAAUUGUCUACAUGCAGAAUAUAUGCCCACAUUCUUUCUCAAAUACAAAUGAACAGAAUCACUUUAUUUUUCUUUUUGUAGUAAAGAAAAUUUAAUAAUUUUUUAAAGUUAGUGUAACAAAUUUACUAUGUUUUAAAAAGUAAAGUUUUAAAACUGUAUAAACUCAGAACACUAAUUUGUUUGCUAAUUAAUUUGCAUUUCUAAAUGAUACUGUCCUCUUCUUUUAACUUCCUGUUAACUCAAGUUAAUAUUUGACUUUUCUAUUUGACUUUCAUAAUUCUGAAGCAUAAAAGUAUAAAAAUAUUGGGUAGGAACUAUUUUUCAUCCUCCAUAUAAUAAAACAUUUCAACUAGUUGACCUUUCACUCAGUAAGUAAUAUUGAGUGUCUAUCAUGUGCUGGACACUGUUAUGAGCACCAGAACUAAAGCAGAGAAAACACAGACCAAAAAACCUCCCCUCAUACAGUGUCUUCUCUAGUGGAGUCAUCGAUUGUUUUCAUGCAUUACUAUUCUCUUGUCAUUGUAUGAAAAGCUGGCAUAUCUUUCUGUUGGUGAUCUGGAAGGUGAUUGGGUCAUUUAUAAACAUGUGUAUUCUAGAGCCCUGCUACUCAAAUUGCAACCUACAGACCACCAGCACUGACAUCAUUUUGUUAGAGAUGCCAAACCUCAGGGCCCAUAACAGAUCUACUGAAUACAAAUCUACAUUUAAACUAGAUCCCAAGGUAAUUUUUGUUCACACUGAAAUUUAAGAAGUGCUACUGUAUAGGUAUUCGAUAAAUGUUUUCACCUGAGAUAUGUUUAUCUCUAGGUGGUCCUCAAACCACCUUUGUGAUAUACAAAUGCAUCAAAAUGUGUCUUCAAUUUGACCAUAACACAUUCAGUCUCUCUUACAGUUGCAAAGAGCCAACAACUAAUGAUUUUUUUAUUGAAUGAAUAAAAAAUGAUCAAACAAAUUUCACUUAUACUAUAUAUUUAAAAAGUAACUUCAAUUAAGUUAGCAAUUUUGAAUUAUGCAAUUUAUUACAAUGGGGAACAAUAUACUCUGUUCACAUAAAAUCCUUUUUUUAUCUAUACACUGUAGAACCUGAUAUAUAAUGAAUGCUAAAGCUGUCAAAAGUUAAGUAUUCCCCUAAACUUAAAAAUAUAGACAUCUAUGUUACGUUCCUGUCUACCUGUAUUUCUUGACAUUGUUAAAAAAAAAAGGAUAAGCUUUUUUUAAACUAAUAUACCACUGCUUCUACAGAAAUUGACGUAUAACCCACAGAAAUAUAUUCGCUGUUUGCCUUACCUUUUGCACUCUACAUACCAAGCAAACAAAAUUUGCACACACUUGCACUAGCAGCUUUGCAUCUAUCUAUUUUUAGGACAGACAGCUACAUCUUUCUCUCUGCACUGCAGGGAAACUGAACAUUUGUGGGAAAGUGUAGUGCAUUAAUCCUGUUUAAUAUUCCAGGACUCACACAGACAAUUAAUUGUGUACUGAAAAGGCAGACUAAUAAAUUUUUCUUCUUCAAAACACAGUAAAUAAGUUUAAUUGUAUUUUUCUCACAAACUGUUGUAAGAUCAAAUAGAUAAAUCAAAUAAAUUGUGAAAAUGACCAAUGUUUGAAUGUCAUAUUCUUUCCUUAUUAUAUUUUUUCUUCCAUGUGUAAUUUGCUUAUUGUAAUCAAUUUUUGAAAAGUUGAAAAAAAAGUGCAACAAAAUGUAUAAAUUAUAUGUGUUCUAUGAUUCUGCACCAUGAAAAUAUAUGUAACUUUUUAUCUGUGGCAUGAUUAUGAAACCUUUUGAGUGUAAAUCUGUUUUUUUAACUUUUUAUUUUGUAAUAAAUAAAGACCUAGAGAAGAUAGCAAAGAGGGGAAAAGACAGUCCCAUAUAUCCAUCACCUGGUCCCAUCUUAGCUUUCCCUAAUACUAGCAUCUUCAUAACCAUGGGACAAUAAUCACACUUAAGAUACUGGCAUUGAUAUACUGCUACUAAUUAAGCUACAGACAUUGUUCAGAUUUUCUCAGUUUUUCUACUUAUGUGUUUCCUAUUUUUAUGUUUAGGAUCAAAUCUAAGCUAUCAUAUUAUGUAUAGUUGGCAAGUAUUCAUUGUCUUCUCUAAUUUGUGACAUUUUCUCCAUCUUUGUUUUUCAUGGCCUGGCUUUUUUUUAAAGAAUACUUGCAGUUGUGUAAUUAAAUGUCCUUCAAUUUAUUUUUGGCUGCUGUUUUCUCAUAUUAGAUGUAGGGUAUGCAUUUUGGGGAAGCAUAGCAUAGAAAUGAUAUGCCCUUCUCCUUCCCUUCUUCUUCUUUGUGUCAGGGAAUACAUGAUAAUCACUGUCUUACUACUGGUAAUGUUAACCUUGAUAUCUUGGUAAAAGCAGCAUCCAUUAGGUUCCUUCUCUCCACUGUAGAGUUGCUUUUUUUAAACCUGCUGUACUCUAUUAGAAGUGAGAAAGUAAGUACACAGCCCAUACCCAAAGACAGGGAAAUCAAGCUCACCUCUUGAAGGAACCAUAGAAGUCACCAUAUUAGCAAAUAUUUUAGAGAAGAAGCUUUAAGGACAUGCAAAUAUCCUAUUUCUUCUUAAAGUUUCUUAAGUUUCUUCCACUAAUUCUAGCAGUCGUCUCUUGCAUGCGGCAUUGUUUACUGUGAUGCUUUUGGGGUGAUUUUUGUACUCCUUCACUCCUACAUGUAUUCGAAUUCUUCUGGAAGUUAAAGUUGCUCCUUUCUCCUGACUUAUUUAUUGACUUAUUUUCUUAUAUCGCUAUAGAUUCAAGAGAAUUUUAUUCUUUGAGUUAUAAUCCAAGACUGUCAUUAUGUACUUUAUGGCUCAAAUUGUUCCUGAGUUAAUCUGUGGGAACUUUUUCUAGUUGACUUCUGUGUGGUGGUCCUCCUGCUCUUCUGCCUCCUUCUCCUCCUCCUCUUCCACUUCCUCCUCCUCCUCCUCCAUUGGCUUCUGGGUGGUGAUCCUCCUGCUCCUCCUCCUUUCUCCUCCCUCUUUUCCCUCCCCUUUCUUCCUCCUCCCGUUCUCCUUCUCCUUCCCCUUCUCUCUCCUCUUUCUCCUUUUUCUCUCCUCUUGUCAAUUAGUAUAUUUUAAAGAUUCUACCUUACCUCCUGGCUUGGCAACUUGUUUUGGGUUUGUCUUGUCUUUCCCUGCUACAACCCUAGCACCAAUAGUUUCUCCAAGAAACCCUGGUUCAAUUAAUUAGAGAAUUAUAUUUAGAAACUAUAAUAUGGGUUCUAGGUGUUUUCUUUGCUGGUGGGGAGCCUGCUUCUAGGUUCUCCGUGUUUUGGACUAAGAAAUGUAUAUAUGUAUACUAAGUCAUAUAUAUACACAUAUCUGUGCCUAUUUCUGUAUCUAUGCAUAUAUUAUAAUAAACGUGUUCAUACUGAUAUCUCCAAGUUCAACCCAGCACUACAUCUAUCAUUCCCCUUUAUUUACAACCUCUUUCUCCUACAGUAAAAAAAUGUGGCUCACAUUAUCUAUAUUAUAUUUAAACAUUUGUUCAACAAUAAUAUGUUAAGUAUAGUGGUUCAGAAUUGCUGAUCUAUAACCUUUAGGCUAUUUUUUUUCACAAAGGCACAGUAUUUGGAUACAAUCAUACUUGCCUUUUGUCUUACGGUAUCUAGUAAAAAAAAACCACCAUUUUAUGAGUUACUUGAGGUAGCUUUUUUAUUCUCCUCUUGCUUCACUGUGAUUAUAUCACACAUUAGCAAUAUAGUCAGAUAUAUUGGCCAAAGUCUGUAUUUCGUAUUAGGUUUCUCCGGUCAAUUGGGUUUCUCAAAACUUUGUAUACAGUAAAAUUCACUCUUUUGGGUGGAUAGUUCCGUAUGUUUGACAAACGCAUUGAUAUAUGUGUCUACCACCACAAUAUCAUACGGAAUAACUUUAUUAUCUCCAAAAGGCUCUUGUGUUGCUUCUUUGUAGUCAACUCGUCUUCCUGCAUUCAAUUCUUAGCAAUCACUGACUUGUUUUCUGUCUCUAUAGUUUGCCUUUUCAGAAUGUCAUAUAAUUGAAAUCAUACAAUUGGGGCUUGUUCCUUUCAUGGUAAAAUGCAUUGAAAAUGCAUCCAUGUUGUGUAAAUCCAUGUUAAUUAUUUUUUAUAG
rnacentral:lncRNA from 10 species